AGAGUUUGAUCAUGGCUCAGAACGAACGCUGGCGGCGUGGCUAAGACAUGCAAGUCGAACGGACUGGUCAAUUUAUUGAACAGUUAGUGGCGAAAGGGUUAGUAACAGAUGGGUAACGUACCCUGUGCUUUGGGAUAGCGUCAUCCCGAUUUCGGUCGGGAUUUCCGAAAGGGGCGGUAAUACCAGAUAAUAUCAUUUGUCGAUAGGCAGAUGAUCAAAGAUUUAUCGGCACGGGAGCGGCCUGUCUCCUAUCAGCUAGUUGGUGAGGUAACGGCUCACCAAGGCGACGACGGGUAGCGGGACUGAGAGGUUGGCCCGCAACAUCGGGACUGAGACACUGCCCGGACCUCCACGGAGGGCUGCAGUAACGGAUAUUGUGCAAUGGGCGAAAGCCUGACACAGCGACGCCGCGUGUAGGAGGAAGUCUCUCGGGAUGUAAACUACUGUCAGGGGGAAGAAAGUGCGCUUCGGCGUAUUGAUCUAACCCAGAGGAAGUCACGGCUAACUUCGUGCCAGCAGCCGCGGUAAGACGAAGGUGGCAAGCGUUGUUCGGUAUUACUGGGCUUAAAGCGUGUGUAGGCGGAAAAGUAAGCGUCUUGUGAAAGCCCCCGGCUUAACCGGGGAAUUGCGUGACGAACUGCUUUUCUUGAGGCAAGUAGGGGUGCAUGGAACUCUUGGUGGAGCGGUGGAAUGCGUAGAUAUCAAGAGGAACGCCAGUGGAGAAAUCGGUGCACUGGGCUUGUUCUGACGCUGAGACACGAAAGCGUGGGGAGCGAACGGGAUUAGAUACCCCGGUAGUCCACGCCGUAAACGAUGCCUACUAGGUUGUGGUGGUUCUGACACCAGCACAGCCGAAGCGAAAGUGCUUAGUAGGCCGCCUGGGGAGUACGGUCGCAAGGCUAAAACUCAAAGGAAUUGACGG
rnacentral:rRNA from 1 species